UGUGGGGUGAAUGCAAGGGAGCCCCACAAGCCCAGAGUCACAUAAAUCCCAAGAUUAGAAGAGAGCAAGCUUCUUUGUCCAGAGAAUUAAGUAUCCCACAUUUUUGCGCCCUUGCAGUGGCCACACCCAUUCUGGCCGGCCACCUCUGUCCCUAGGUGUGAUUGGUAGCAACCACCUUCGCUAGUCCUUCCAACUUUACUGGGUAUGUGUCUGUCUGCUCUUGUUGGACCCCUGGAGGGUAAAGUUGUAAUUUCCUGGUAAAGCUGCCUAAAUGACAUGCUUGUAAUAUCUGGCUCCCCACUUUGCUCCUUUCCUAUUAUUAAUAACUAGGUUAAUUACAGCGGUUUCAGCUUGUUAAGUUUCUUUAUAUCUUGGAUGGCACGGUUGAGAUUAUGAUUGGCCAAAAAGGGACAAAGUGAAUGAUGAGGAAGAAUAGGAUGAUCAUAUGUCCAAGAGAGUCUUCAACUUUGGGCCAUUUCUGUUCUUAUAUUUAUGAUUUAAAGUAUUUAAAAUAUUUCCAAGUGCUUAUUUUAGGAUAUAUAAUUUCAUUUGAAAUGUGGUGUUAGAUUUGCUCAGCUUUAUGGUUGAUUUUUUUUAGGGGCCUAUUUUCAUCAACAGAAAUACUUGAUUCAUAUGUUAUAGCAUUUUACAAUUGCUAGUUGUCUAACUUAGAAUGCUCGCUUUCAUAUAUAUUUUAUGGAUAGGGUUCCUAAUUCAAGACUCUUCUGUCAGUUCUGAUGUAAAAUAAUCUAAGUAUAUUAUGAUUAUGUGAAAAAGAUGAAGUAACUUAGGGAAAUAUAUUUUUAGCAUUUGAUUGAAAAACAGCAAAUUCGUCGAAACCUGUUUGGCUCACACAGCAACUAAAACACAAUCACAGUGGUGUUUGGGAGGGUUUUUAAGAUCACCCCAGAUUCAGUGAUUCCCUAGGAC